rnacentral:rRNA from 1 species
GACGAACGCUGGCGGCGUGCCUAAUACAUGCAAGUAGAACGCUGAAGGAGGAGCUUGCUUCUCUGGAUGAGUUGCGAACGGGUGAGUAACGCGUAGGUAACCUGCCUGGUAGCGGUGGAUAACUAUUGGAAACGAUAGCUAAUACCGCAUAAGAGUAGAUGUUGCAUGACAUUUGCUUAAAAGGUGCAAUUGCAUCACUACCAGAUGGACCUGCGUUGUAUUAGCUAGUUGGUGGGGUAACGGCUUACCAAGGCGACGAUACAUAGCCGACCUGAGAGGGUGAUCGGCCACACUGGGACUGAGACACGGCCCAGACUCCUACGGGAGGCAGCAGUAGGGAAUCUUCGGCAAUGGACGGAAGUCUGACCGAGCAACGCCGCGUGAGUGAAGAAGGUUUUCGGAUCGUAAAGCUCUGUUGUAAGAGAAGAACGAGUGUGAGAGUGGAAAGUUCACACUGUGACGGUAUCUUACCAGAAAGGGACGGCUAACUACGUG